CCUACGCGAGGCAGCAGUGAGGAAUAUUGGUCAAUGGCCGGAAGGCUGAACCAGCCAAGCCGCGUGAAGGACGAAGGUGCCAAGAAUGGUAAACUUCUUUUGUCAAGGGACAAAAUCAGGCUCGAGAGCCUGACCGAGGGUACUUGAAGAAAAAGCAUCGGCUAACUCCGUGCCAGCAGCACCGGUAAUACGGGGGAGGCGAACGUUAGCCGGAUUUAUUGGGGUUAAAGGGUGCGUAGCCGGGCUGUUAAGUCAGCGGUAAAAGCCCGGGGCUCAACCCCGGCGAGCCGUUGAAACUGGCUGUCUUGAGAUGUCGAGAGGUAUGCGGAAUGCGCGGUGUAGCAGUGAAAUGCUUAGAUAUUGCGCAGAACUCCGAUUGCGAAGGCAGCAUACCGGCGGCGAUCUGACGCUGAGGCACGAAAGCGUGGGUAUCGAACAGGAUUAGAUACCCUUGUAGUC
rnacentral:rRNA from 1 species